CCUACGGGUGGCAGCAGUGGGGAAUAUUGGGCAAUGGGCGCAACCCUGACCCAGCAACGCCGCGUGAAUGAAGAAGGCUUUCGGGUUGUAAAGUUCUUUUGUCAGGGACGAAGAAAGUGACGGUACCUGACGAAUAAGCCACGGCUAACUACGUGCCAGCAGCCGCGGUAAUACGUAGGUGGCAAGCGUUAUCCGGAUUGACUGGGUGUAAAGGGCGUGUAGGUGGGACGGCAAGUCAGAUGCGAAAACCACAGGCUCAACCUGUGGACUACAAUUGAAACUGUAGGUCUUGAGUACUGGAGAGGCAGACGGAAUUCCUAGUGUAGCGGUGAAAUGAGUAGAUAUUAGGAGGAACACCAGUGGCGAAGGCGGUUUGCUGGACAGUAACUGACGCUGAGGCGCGAAAGCGUGGGGAGCAAACAGGAUUAGAUACCCGUGUAGUC
rnacentral:rRNA from 1 species